rnacentral:misc_RNA from 1 species
GAUGAAGAACGUAGCGAAAUGCGAUACGUAGUGUGAAUUGCAGAAUUCCGUGAACCAUCGAAUCUUUGAACGCAAAUUGCGCUCGAGGCCUCGGCCGAGAGCAUGUCUGCCUCAGCGUCGGCUUAUUCCCUCGCCUCCCCUUUCUCUUUUUCGAGAGAGCAAAGCGGGAGCGGAACUGGUCGUGUCGGCUGCCCUGGAGCAGCCGGGUCGGCCGAAAUAAAGAGGCUUGAGCAUGGCCCCGCUAAACAGGGCGGCAGCUUGGUAGGUGGAGUUUGCCUCUGCAUACCGCUGCCGCGCUGGGGGCCGCUUGCUGGGAGCCGGCAGGAACUGGCGCCAGUUUCGGCUGCGCCUGCAACUCUCAAAAUUCGACCUGAGCUCAGGCAAGAGCACCCGCUGAACUUAAGCAUAUCAAUAAGCGGAGGA